rnacentral:lncRNA from 1 species
CUGGGCCAGGUCACUGUGCCCAGCCCAAAGUUCACUGCUGUGUACAAAGCUCCAGGUGCUCUCUGCUCUCUGCUCCAAGGAGAUCCUCUUCACAGCAGGAAGCCUGCCCAGGGUCAUCCUGUGAGACUUAGCUCUUCAGUGAAACCACAAAUCCAGAGGAGUAGGGGGAGUCCAGUUCAGGGAACAACAUCUGUUGGGACCAUUGAACAAAGGCUGCCUGGAGCCCACUGGAGCACUGGCUGGUGUUUUCCUGCCUUAAAUGUCUGCCUCUUCUGGAAGUGCUGCUGAGUGUUGCUGGUGAUUGCCUGAAGACACAAAGCACUGUGGAAAGUAAGCAUUCAUUUAAAUUUGCAUUCUUUCUUGGAGUUCACCUCUUGAAAUAUCCUGGUCCUCUCCCAGUUGGUUCUUCCUGUGCCAAUCUCUUGCACGUCUGCCCUAAUCAAUUUAUUCUCCAUCUCUGUUGUCUCUUCUGUUUUGACAUCUAUGCACUCACAGCCUGAUGUAGCAUAAGUGAAGUAGAAAACAGCUCAGGCAGACAUGGCAAAUGAAAUUCUGUUCCUGACAUAUGGCCAGAAGUGAGCUCAGUUAUCACCAUGAGCAGCCACAAUGAAUAGUUUCUGCUCUGUUACUGAUACAAACCAACGUGCCCUUGGCUCACACCCAGAGCUCUUAGCAAGGGCUCCUCACUUUGGUGAUUCAAUGGUUUGAAUGUCUUUGUAUGUGUGUGAAGGGUUUAUGCUGCUGUUCCCUUGGGUUAUAAAUUCAUUUCCUGCAGCUGCCAUCAUGUGAAAUCUACUGGUGUCUUUUCUAGGUGGGCUUUUAGAGCUU